AUAGGAAGAACCGUUAUGUGCGAAGCACAUAAUUAAAAAUCGGUUCUGACGACCUGCCACCGAGCCUGGGCGAGGGGGCAAUACAUAU
rnacentral:sRNA from 1 species